CGCGGCCUCAGUGGACGGCUGGGACACCUCGCACAGGAAUGUGGCCGACUCCUUCUCCCGCACCUCCAGAUCUUGCAGCCGCUUUUUGAAGGGAACCGCGGGCUCUGCCAGGAGAGGAGACUGGAGGAAAGAGGGUUUUCAUUCCCUUCUGAAUGUUAGGAGGGAAGGCAUUUUCCAUCCUUGACCAGCUUGUAGAUGACACGCAUUCAGCAAACACACACUCCCAGCAGCACCGAGAGAACACACAGCUGGGUUGCUUACAAAUACACUACUUCAAAGUAAACUUUCUCUAGCAACGUAUCAGGAGCAAAGUAAAAUCUAUCUGGAGCAAGUAAAUCUGACUGCUACCCCACUAUUUUGAAGCAUACACGGGAAGCUGGUUCCUGGACUCCCGCAUAUACCAAAAUCUGUGCAUACUCAAGUUCUACAGUCGGCCCUGUGGAACCCAAGCAUAGGACAAGCCGGCCCUCCCUAUACACAUAGGUUUGACAUCCCGAGAACACUGUUGGUUCCCUUCCCAUUUGGUUCCAGAAAAUCUGCGUAUAAGUGGACUCAGUGGUGCAAACCCAUGUUGUUCAAGGGUCAACUAUAUAUGAUGAAUUACUGUUACCUACAGUCACUCUACCAUGCUACUCAACACUAGAACUGAUUCAUUUUCUCUGACUGUGUGUCUCUACCCAUUAACCAGCCUCUCUUCAUCUCCCUUCCCGCUUCCCUCCCCAGCCUCUGGUAACCAUCAUUCAACUCUCUACCUCCAUGAAAUCAACAUGAGUGAGAACCGGUGAAGCCCAAACAUAGUCUCGAGUUUAGCUUUUUUUUUUUUUAACUGUAAGAGGCUAAACAUGCUUGAGGAGGACACAAAAAAAGUCUGAAGACAACUGCCCAGAUGAGAAUCUUGCACUUGCACAAGUAGAGAGGAGAGUUAGUUUUUAUACCAUUGCAUCCCCAAUCCCAGCUUUAUUGAUGUACAAAUAAAAAUUGUACAUAUUUCAAGUGUA